rnacentral:rRNA from 1 species
CGAGUGAACCGGGAUGAGCUCAAAUUUAAAAUCUGGCGUCUUUCAGGCGUCCGAGUUGUAAUCUAUAGAGGCGUUUUCCGCGCCGGACCGCGUCCAAGUCUCUUGGAAUAGAGUAUCAAAGAGGGUGACAAUCCCGUACUUGACGCGACAACCGGUGCUCUGUGAUACGUUCUCAAUGAGUCGAGUUGUUUGGGAAUGCAGCUCUAAAUGGGUGGUAAAUUCCAUCUAAGGCUAAAUAUUGGCGAGAGACCGAUAGCGAACAAGUACCGUGAGGGAAAGAUGAAAAGCACUUUGGAAAGAGAGUUAAACAGCACGUGAAAUUGUUAAAAGGGAAACGAUUGAAGUCAGUCGUGUGAAAGGUAUUCAGCCGUCUCUGGCGGUGUAUUUGCCUUUCACGGGUCAACAUCAGUUUGAUCCGGUAGAAAAAGGCGGGAGGAAGGUG